AACAAAGACCCAAGGCAGCCAAAAAUAAAUUUUUUUAAAAACGCUCAAUUUAAAAAAAAAAAAAAAGAGUAGAAACUUAUGGAGGUCAGGUCCAUCUCACAGUAGGUCCAGUGGGUCCCUGAACCCACCUUGUGGUUAUGGCCCCAGUUCCGGGAUGUAUAGUUGAAAUAGACACACAGGCACAUCUUGUUUUACUGUGCUUCACUUUAUUGUACUUCGCAGAUAACUGUUUUUUUUUGCAGAUUGAAGGUUUGUGUCACCCCUGCGCUGAGCAAGUCUAUCAGGACCAUUCUUCCAGCAGCAUUUGCUCACUUCGUGUCUCUGUGUCAGAUCUUGGUGAAUCUCUCAAUGUUUCAAAUCCUCCACCAGCAAAAAGAUGAUGACUCGCUGAAGGCUCAGAUGAUGAUCAGCAUCGUUAGUUAGCAAUACAGUAUUUUUAAAUUAAGUGGACUGCAACCAAACCCGCGGUAUCUCCGAGGUGUGCCUGUACUUAGCAACGGGCAGAAUCCCCACAUUGGUUCCCUCACGUGUGGAGUGAGGCCUAUUAUGGUAGGAAAACCAAGUGGAAGUCACGAGGACUGCCUCUACCUAGGAAAAUGGUAAAUGAAAGACAAUACUGCAUCCCUGGAGGGACUACAGAGACCAGUGCCACCAUCAAGGACUUGAGAGAUGCAGGGGUGCUGACUCCCACAUCUCCAUUCAACCCCCGUUCUGUCUGUGCGGAAGACAGAUGGAUCGUGGAAGGUGACAGUGGAUGAUCAUAAACCGAUGACUGGAGGUGGUGGCUCCAAUUGCAGCUGCUCUUCCAGAUGUGGUUUCAUUACUUGAGCAAAUUAACACAUCCCCUGGUUCCUGGUUUGCAGCUACUGAUAUGGCAAGUGCUCUUUUCUCAGUACCUGUUAGUAAAGACCACGAAAAGCAGUUUGCUUUCAGCUGGCCAGACCAGCAAUACACCUUCACUGUCCUGCCUCGGGUAGAUCAACUCUCCAGCUUGAUGUCAUUAUAAUUUGGUCUGCAGGUAUCUUGAUCACCUUUCCCUUCCACAAAAUAUCCCACAGGUUUAGCAUCGAUGAUAUAUGCAGAUUCCAUCUAGAGAACAAGAAGUAGUAACUAUAGAUAUACUGGUAAGACAUUUGCAUUGUCGAUGGUCGGAAAUAAAUUUCACCAAAAGUCAGGGGCCUUCCACCUCAGUGAAAUUUCUAGCAAUGCACUGGUUGGGUGCGUGUCAAGAUACCUGUUUUUUCAGUGAAGGAUAAGUUAUUGCAUCUGGCCCCUCCUGCAGCCAAAAAACCAGGCACAACACCUAGUUGGCCUCUCUGGAUAUUGGACCUCUCUGGGUGUGUCACUCUGGCCCAUUUACCAAGUGACCUGAAAAGCUGCCUAUUUUGAGUGGGGCCCAGAACAAGAGAAAGAUUUGCACCAGGUCCAGGCUGCUGUGUGUGCUGCUCUGCCACUUGGGCCACAGGAUCCAGCAGAUCUCCUGGUGCUUGAAGAGGCGGGGGCAGGCAGGGAUGCUGUCUGGAGCUUGCGACAGGUCCCUACAGAUGAAUCACAGUGGAGGCCCUUAGGAUUUGGGGGCAAAGUCCUGCCAUCCUCUGCAGAUAAUCCCUUUCCUUUUGAGUAACUACUGGGCCAUUGGAUUUACAUCUGCAAAGACUCUAUUUCCAAAUAAGGUCAUCCAGGGUUCUGGAUGGACGUGAACCUGGGGGGACGCAAUUCACCCCACAACAGGGAGAAGUGCUUUCCGGAGACACAACAUUGAUGUCAUUGAACUGGAAGUUCAGACAGCUACCAGCCACUUUGGGCUCCUUAAGCCUCCAAGUCGUCAGGCAGAGAAGGGAGUUAUCCUAUUGGCUGGGGUGACUGACCCUGACUACCAAGAGGAAAUCGGGCUGCUACUAUACAAUUAAGGAAGAAGAUGUGUGGAAUCCUUACAGGAGAUCCCUAAGGCUACCCUGCCUUAAAGUCGAUGGAAAAUGCAAUUAAGGCAGAACUACUAAUGGCCCUGACUCUUCAGGAAUGAAGGUUUGGGACACCCCAGCAACCACGACCAGCCAAGGUGCUUGCUGUGGGUGUGGAAUGGGUAGUGGAAGAAAGUAGUUGUAAAGACCAGCUACAUCUAUGUGACCAGUUGCAGAAAUGAGGCCUGUAAUCAUCUUGUAAUUUUCAUGUAGUUCAUCACCUUGUGCUGUUCGUAUCUUCAGACACAAACUUGUAUAGAUAUAUACCUGCGGGAUCAUAUUUCCCCGACCAGAGAUCGAACCCCUGCCGCCUGCAGUGGAAGCACAGAGUCUUAACCACUGGACCACCAGGGAAGUCCCUACAUCACAGGAUUUAGGUUACAGGAUCUCACAGAGAAGAGUAACUGUCACCCACGGACUUGGCAUCCUCUUCUGGGGAAAGGAUCUGUGUGUUCUGGGUUAUAGACAGGAUAGUUGCAUCACAUUCGAUGGAAGCAAGGCUUUGUUAUUUUCUUUAUCUGGAGAUUAAGUGUGGUUUAAGGACGUGUGCAUGGGUAGCAAGCUGAUAAAAGGUGAACUGGGCUAGGCCUAGUCAUUCAAUCAAACACUAAUCUAGGUGUUGCCAGGAGGUUAUUUUGCAGAUGUGAUUAACAUCUACAAUCCGUAGACUUUAAGUAAAGGAGAUUAUCCUCUGCAUCUGAGUUGGCCUCAUCCAGCUAGCUGAAAGAUCUGAAGAGACAAAUUGAGGUUUCCAGAGGACGAAGCCGUUAAGGCCGCGGGCGGCAGUAUCAGCUUCUUUUCAAGAGUUUCCAGCCUGCCGGCCUGCCCUGCAAUGUCAGACUCACCUAGCCAGCCUCUACGAUCAUGUAAGCCCAUUUCUUGAAAGACAGAAACAAGCAAAUAAUCUCCUAUGGGUUCUUUUUCUCUGCUAGAGCCCUGACUGCUAGAGGGCCCCAGCUCUGGAGGUUAGGAGUCCUGCUCCUCAGCCUGGUGCACCACACUGACCAGUGGGGUGGCUGCCAGGCAGGCUGUGUCCCUUGUUCAGAAUCAGCUGCCCCCCGGCUCUGCUUGAGACCAAAGGCAUAUGGGGGCAGCUCCAGAGAAGGUAUAAGGCUUUGCUCUGUGCCUCACAAAGAAGGUUUCCCAUUCCAGAAGUGAGCUGGGCAGCCUUGGGGAAAUGGGAAGAGGCAGCCUCCGCUGGAAGCACGUCCUUAGGGUGGAAGGGGUGGGAUAUAACGGUGCAGGGAGCAGGAAGUGAGGUGGGGCUAGCUGUCUCCGACGUGACACAUCCAAGAGUGGCUUUGCCCGCAGUGGUACCCAGUGGCCCGGCAGCAGCCGACUCGGACGCUCUGAUGCCUGUGGUACUCAGGCAUGGCAGGAGCUUGCGUUCCCGGCCACACAGCUGGCUGAAGAACACACAGGCAGGCACGUGUCACGGGGUCGACAGUCACAGUUACGCACUCAGGACCUUCCUGGUGCCGGGUGUUCCUGCCCUCAUGGAGCUUACAUCCUGGCAGGAUGACAGAGACUAAAGAAGGAAACAAGUGGACAUAAAAUGACAAGUACUGGGGAAAAAACAGAAAGAAAAGAGAAUAAUGGGAUGGGGGACACUAGUUAGCAGUGGGUUUGGGGGAGGACAAGUGGUUAGACAGUGGUCAGGGAAGGCCUCUGAGGAGGUGACGCCGGAAUGAUGAGCUGAAGCAAACCAAGCAAAGAUUUGGGGAAGGGUCUUCCAAGUAGAUAGGUGAGUGCAAAGGUCCUGAGGCAGGAACAAGGUCAGCAUAGCCAAUGCCUUAGAAGGUGGCAGGCGGCUGAAGUUGAGUGAAGGGGGUGGUGGGUGAAGGGAUCCAAAAGUGGGGGGACAGAUCAUAUAGGGCCUUCUAGGCCAUCGUAAGGAAUGUGGGUUCUAGUCAAAGUGAGAUGGGAUCCAUUGGAGGAGUCAUAAGGGAGGGAA